UUUCUUUUUGGUAAAAAUUAAACUAUCACCGAAUCCAACCUAGUCCAGCCAAGCUAACCUCGUAGAAACUGGUACGGCUCUUGAGUGUGAAACGUUUCCGGUGAAAACUUAUUUUGCACUGAUGGUUAUCAUCAAGUGGGUACUGAGCUUAUCUAGAAAGCCGUAUUCAGCCUCGCCUAGACUUGUUGCUUGUUUAAGCAUCCAUGCGCUACGCUACGAAAUGUGCAGUUGAAGCCUUUUGCUUUGUUCAUUCACAAAGAACUCGAGCGAGAUACCUUCACAUGAAUAAGUUUGUUUGGAAGAAAGCAAGAUAAUUAACUGGGUACUACAACACGUAGUUGAUAAUAUGUUCUGUUUAUCGAAUUUUGCACUGAGAGGUUGAUAGUUAUCACAAGGGCGCUAAAUUGUUGACAUUACUUAAUAAACGAUGACUCAAAAUUGAUUCAGAUUCAUUCACCUGGAUAAAUUUUGUACGAUUGGACUUAAAACAUUUGGUUGAGUAGUUUUAUGCGCUCGGAAAAGGCCGUCAUGGGAUAAAUUGAUAUGGAGUUGAUUUUGAAUUUCUAGUUAAUUCAAGGGCAAGGGCUGCGGAAAAAUCGAGUCAGCAGAACAGCUUGAAAAGCAGUUGGACAGCAUUUCUGGUAAGUUAUUAGGACAGCUGGAAAUUUCAAAAAAGUUAAUUGGUAGAAGAACUUGAUAAAAAGAUAAAAAAAACAGCGAGUCAAGAAGACAGCUAAAUUUCUUUAUACAUUUCCACAGAGUUGUGAGAAAACAGUUUGCAAAAGCAAAAAACAAGACGGGUAGAGAGCUUGAAAAAAGAAAAUUUUAUAAACAAAAGCAGCGAGUCGAAGGGACAGCUGGAAAAGAUUGGACAUUUCCAACGAGUUAAGCAUUCAGCUUAAAUUCCAAAAAAAAACGAGUUGAGAGAACAACAAUUAAAAAAAAUAGUUGAAAAAUCUUCGAGCAUUUAAAAGUAGUUGAGUGAGAAGACAGCUUGAAACUGCGGAAAAGCGAGUCGGGAAGAUAGUUAGGAAAACAAAAUAAACAGCAAGUCAACAGGAAAAAAAAAAAUUGGGUUAAGCAUUUGAAGUAAGUUCAGAGAACAGCUAAAAAGCUAAUCGGGAGGACAGCUUGGAAAUUUAAUGGAAUCCAUUAAAGAUGUUUUUAUUUUUUACCAAAUCAAUUGAAAAUUUAUAUUUCUUUGUAAAUUGUAUUGCAAUGCGAAUCAAUAUCACAAAUUUGAAAACUUAUCCGAAGCUUCGUCGAAUGCUGAUGAAUAUUUAAUAUGUCUCAUUCCUCAGACCAUGCGUUUUAAGCUUUCGUCAACCAAAAGUCGAACAAAAGCUUUCAAUUAUGGCAACGCGUGUCUAUUGUCAAACUAAAGUUUACUUGUUUUUUCAAUUGUUUUGAUUUACGAACAAAUCGCGGAUCCAUCGAUCCAUUACCAAAUCAUCUUCAUAAUUCUGUGCAAUGAACGCCGAUCUGCGGGAUCUUGCCUUCCGGAUGCUGCCGACGCUGGACGCCCAGUCUACGCAGGUCGACAAGGCCCAGUUCCUGUACCUGGCCGACUACAUCAAGUCCCGACUUGCGGGCAGUGACUACAACAAGGCCGUCCACGAGCUCGGUAUGAUCAUGCUGUCAAAGAUGCGGGGCUUCUACGCCAUCAACGUGAUCAACGCUGCCUGUAAAACGUACGAAGAGGUGGCCCAAACGCUGCAUCAGUGUGCCUAGAUGUUGUGGGGUGGUUGGGGAGUUCCGGAAUCAUUGGGAGUUAGGGAGAUGAUCAAUUAGGUCGUCAGUUGAUCGAGUCGGAACGGGUAGGUACGUUAUUCCACACUUGGAAGUUGAGGAAACAUUUGUGAAGUAUUUUUAUCCACACGUUUUGUUGGAUAAGUGAUUUUCUCAACCUGAACUAAUAGUUGAUUGUAACCGACAGGCUGCUUUAAAGUUAAUAAAUUACAAACUACAAUUGGUAAACUAUGUUGAAGGUCACCAAGAAAUAUUUUUAUUGAUUUCGACAUUCUCGAACCGAGUAUUACAAAUUACUGAUAGGCGCAUCGGAAUAAAAUACCUAUAACUUCCUUGAAUGAAUUCUGUUAAUUUUUUAUCAUUUUACCGCUAGUUGUAACCACAAAAAUAUGAUUGGUUUAUCAGAAGCAACAAAUUGCAACCGCUUUUUUGUGAUUGUGACGUAUAAAAAGAAAAACUGUCGUGAAAACAGUUGAGUAUAGGCAAAGGUUGCAAGCUGUGUAGCACUAUGAAUGCCGAACUACGCGAUUUGGCGCUCCGGAUCAUCCCGGUGCUCGAGGGACCAGUCUCGCCGACGGCCAAAGAUUUGUUUCUUUAUGUAUCCAAGUAUAUCAACGAUCAAGUGCCAUCGGCUAGCACAGUGGGCAAGGCUGAGUUGGGUAUCAUUAUGAUCUCCAAGCUGAGAGGAACCUACGCCAGCAUGGCCAUCAACCGGCGGUGUAAAACCCAUGACGACGUUGCGAAAGUAUUGAACUGAAAAGUUGGCGUUUCACACCAUUGUUGAGAAUGUGCCUUUCUUCAUCAAUUUACAUUUGUUCCUGUUUGUGAUCUAAAAUCCUUCACAGAGAACAAGCGCAUAAUCAUGGUACGUACAAAAGCGUUGGAUAAACGACGGGAAAGAUCAAUUUUCGAAGAAAAAAAAUAACGAAAGUGAAACGUUAUUUAUUAUUCAAAUAAACGUGGCUGUAUGUAUUUGAA